UGGGGAAUUUUUGGACAAUGGGCGAAAGCCUGAUCCAGCAAUGCCGCGUGUGUGAAGAAGGCCUUCGGGUUGUAAAGCACUUUUGUCCGGAAAGAAAUCCUUGGCUCUAAUACAGUCGGGGGAUGACGGUACCGGAAGAAUAAGCACCGGCUAACUACGUGCCAGCAGCCGCGGUAAUACGUAGGGUGCAAGCGUUAAUCGGAAUUACUGGGCGUAAAGCGUGCGCAGGCGGUUUGCUAAGACCGAUGUGAAAUCCCCGGGCUCAACCUGGGAACUGCAUUGGUGACUGGCAGGCUAGAGUAUGGCAGAGGGGGGUAGAAUUCCACGUGUAGCAGUGAAAUGCGUAGAGAUGUGGAGGAAUACCGAUGGCGAAGGCAGCCCCCUGGGCCAAUACUGACGCUCAUGCACGAAAGCGUGGGGAGCAAACAGGAUUAGAUACCCUGGUAGUCCACGCCCUAAACGAUGUCAACUAGUUGUUGGGGAUUCAUUUCCUUAGUAACGUAGCUAACGCGUGAAGUUGACCGCCUGGGGAGUACGGUCGCAAGAUUAAAACUCAAAGGAAUUGACGGGGUCAUAGCUGUUUCCU
rnacentral:rRNA from 1 species